rnacentral:lncRNA from 1 species
GAAUUACUGGAGCAUCAAGAAGAGCCUGCAUGCUUGAAGGGACUUCCAGGCGGGUGAACACACCCUAGCACUGGGUGUCAUCUCCCAAGGAGAGGCUGAGUGAUACUCCUCCCCUAACUUGUGACAGUGGUGCCUUGGAGAACAGAAAACAGGUCCAGAAAACCGAAAGAUGAAUCAGAAACAUCUGAAGAG